GACAGAGGUGCCGAGCGUUGUCCGGAAUUACUGGGCGUAAAGAGCUCGUAGGUGGUUUGUCGCGUUGUUCGUGAAAACCGGGGGCUUAACCCUCGGCGUGCGGGCGAUACGGGCAGACUUGAGUACUGCAGGGGAGACUGGAAUUCCUGGUGUAGCGGUGGAAUGCGCAGAUAUCAGGAGGAACACCGGUGGCGAAGGCGGGUCUCUGGGCAGUAACUGACGCUGAGGAGCGAAAGCGUGGGGAGCGAACAGG
rnacentral:rRNA from 1 species